GGCCAUCAAAUACGAGUCAUGUAGGAAAAAGGAACUCGGAGUCCAAGACUUUAUAAAAGUUAUGCGUGGAAUGUGUCCCAAAGGCGACAAACCACCGUGCCCAAAAAUGAUAAAAGCUUAAUAUGCCUAAUGAAAUAUAUUGCACUUUAUUUUAAUUAACCUGAACUAAAAAUAAAUAAAACUUUAAGUUUUUUAUAAA